rnacentral:rRNA from 1 species
AUUGAACGCUGGCGGCAGGCUUAACACAUGCAAGUCGAGCGAGCGGCGGACGGGUGAGUAAUGUCUGGGAAACUGCCUGAUGGAGGGGGAUAACUACUGGAAACGGUAGCUAAUACCGCAUACCAUCAGAUGUGCCCAGAUGGGCUUAGCUAGUAGGUGGGGUAAUGGCUCACCUAGGCGACGAUCCCUAGCUGGUCUGAGAGGAUGACCAGCCCCACGUGAACUGCGACACGGUCCAGCCUCCUACGGGAGUCAGCAGUGGGGAAUAUGGCACAAUGGGCGGAAGCCUGAUGCAGCCAUGCCGCGUGUGUGAAGAAGGCCUGCGGGUUGUAAAGCACUUUCAGCGAGGAGGCGUUACUCGCAGAAGAAGCACCGGCUAACUCCGUGCCAGCAGCCGCGUUAAUUC